rnacentral:rRNA from 1 species
GAUGAACGCUAGCUACAGGCUUAACACAUGCAAGUCGAGGGACCGGCGCACGGGAGAGUAACACGUAUCCAACCUGCCCUUUACUCGGGGAUAGCCUUUCGAGAGAACGAUUAAUACCCGAUAUAAAGGAUGGGGAUGGGUUCCAUUAGGUUGUGGGUGAGGUACCGGCCUACCAAGCCUUCGAUGGCUAGGGGUUCUGAGAGGAAGGUCCACCACAAUGGAACUGAGACCCGGACCAAACUCGUAGGGGAGGCAGCAGUGUGGAAUAUUGGGCAAUGGGCGUUAGCGUGAACCUGCCACGUAGAGUGAAAGAGGAAUGCUUAUGGGUCGUAAACCUCUGGUAUAUAAGAAUAUGUAUUAUAUGAAUAAGGAUCGGCUAACUCCGUGCCAGCAGCCGCGGUAAUAC